rnacentral:rRNA from 1 species
CCUACGGGAGGCAGCAGUGGGGAAUAUUGCACAAUGGGGGAAACCCUGAUGCAGCGACGCCGCGUGGGUGACGAAGUAUUUCGGUAUGUAAAGCCCUAUCAGCAGGGAAGAAGAUGACAGUACCUGACCAAGAAGCCCCGGCUAACUACGUGCCAGCAGCUGCGGUAAUACGUCGGGGGCAAGCGUUAUCCGGAUUUAAUGGGUGUAAAGGGAGCGUAGGUGGCCUGGCGAGCCAGAAGUGAAAACCCGGGGCUUAACCCCGCGGAUUGCUUUUGGAACUGUCAGGCUGGAGUGCAGGAGGGGCAGGCGGAAUUCCUGGUGUAGCGGUGAAAUGCGUAGAUAUCAGGAAGAACACCGGUGGCGAAGGCGGCCUGCUGGACUGUAACUGACACUGAGGCUCGAAAGCGUGGGGAGCAAACAGGAUUAGAUACCCUAGUAGUC